rnacentral:rRNA from 1 species
UAAUACGUAGGUGGCAAGCGUUGUCCGGAAUUAUUGGGCGUAAAGCGCGCGCAGGCGGCUUCUUAAGUCUGAUGUGAAAUCUUGCGGCUCAACCGCAAGUGGUCAUUGGAAACUGGGAGGCUUGAGUGCAGAAGAGGAGAGUGGAAUUCCACGUGUAGCGGUGAAAUGCGUAGAGAUGUGGAGGAACACCAGUGGCGAAGGCGGCUCUCUGGUCUGUAACUGACGCUGAGGCGCGAAAGCGUGGGGAGCAAACAGGAUUAGAUACCCUGGUAGUCCACGCCGUAAACGAUGAGUGCUAAGUGUUAGAGGGUUUCCGCCCUUUAGUGCUGCAGCUAACGCAUUAAGCACUCCGCCUGGGGAGUACGGCCGCAAGGCUGAA